rnacentral:rRNA from 1 species
GAUGAACGCUGGCGGCGUGCCUAAUACAUGCAAGUCGAGCGAACGGACGAGAAGCUUGCUUCUCUGAUGUUAGCGGCGGACGGGUGAGUAACACGUGGAUAACCUACCUAUAAGACUGGGAUAACUUCGGGAAACCGGAGCUAAUACCGGAUAAUAUUUUGAACCGCAUGGUUCAAAAGUGAAAGACGGUCUUGCUGUCACUUAUGGAUGGAUCCGCGCUGCAUUAGCUAGUUGGUAAGGUAACGGCUUACCAAGGCAACGAUGCAUAGCCGACCUGAGAGGGGGAUCGGCCACACUGGACCUGAGACACGGUCCAGACUCCUACGGGAGGCAGCAGUAGGGAAUCUUCCGCAAUGGGCGAAAGCCUGACGGAGCAACGCCGCGUGAGUGAUGAAGGUCUUCGGAUCGUAAAACUCUUUUAUUAGGGAAAAAAAUAUGUGUAAGUAACUGUGCACCUCUUGACGGUACCUAAUCAGAAAGCCACGGCUAACCACGU